rnacentral:ncRNA from 1 species
AUGGUAGAGGUGCGGUACUUAUCAGUACUUCGGUUUGUACGACGGAUAAUCGGAACCGAACGAAAGGAAAUACCGCCGAAACAUACGGCUUUUUGUCCGAAAGACGCAUGUUGGGAUGCAAAAUAAUAUUUUGCAGACUGUCACAGGUGUGAAGCGCUAUC